rnacentral:rRNA from 1 species
UACAGAGGUCUCAAGCGUUGUUCGGAUUCAUUGGGCGUAAAGGGUGCGCAGGCGGCCGAGUGUGUGAGGCGUGAAAGCCCGAUGCUUAACAUCGGAAUUGCACCUCAAACUACACGGCUAGAGCAUUGGAGAGGGUAGCAGAAUUCAUGGUGUAGCAGUGAAAUGCGUAGAUAUCAUGAGGAAUACCAGAGGCGAAGGCGGCUACCUGGACAAUUGCUGACGCUCAGGCACGAAAGCGUGGGGAGCAAAAGGG